GAUGAACGCUGGCGGCGUGCCUAACACAUGCAAGUCGAACGAAGCACCUUGAUUUCCUCGGAUUGAUAGGUGACUGAGUGGCGGACGGGUGAGUAACGCGUGGGUAACCUGCCUCAUACAGGAGGAUAACAGUUAGAAAUGGCUGCUAAUACCGCAUAAGCGCACAGUACCGCAUGGUACCGUGUGAAAAACUCCGGUGGUAUGAGAUGGACCCGCGUCUGAUUAGCUAGUUGGUAAGGUAACGGCUUACCAAGGCGACGAUCAGUAGCCGGCCUGAGAGGUGAUCGGCCACAUUGGGACUGAGACACGGCCCAAAUCCUACGGAGGCAGCAGUGGGAAUAUUGCACAAUGGGGAAACCCUGG
rnacentral:rRNA from 1 species